rnacentral:rRNA from 1 species
GCUACGGGUGGCAGCAGUCGAGAAUCAUUCACAAUGGGGGAAACCCUGAUGGUGCGACGCCGCGUGGGGGAAUGAAGGUCUUCGGAUUGUAAACCUCUGUCAUGUGGGAGCAAAUCAAAAAGAUAGUACCACAAGAGGAAGAGACGGCUAACGCUGUGCCAGCAGCCGCGGUAAUACAGAGGUCUCAAGCGUUGUUCGGAAUCACUGGGCGUAAAGCGAGCGUAGGCUGUUUCGUAAGUCGUGUGUGAAAGGCGGGGGCUCAAACGGGGGACGGCACAUGAUACUGCGGGACUAGAGUACUGGAGGGGGAACCGGAAUUCUCGGUGUAGCAGUGAAAUGCGUAGAUAUCGGGAGGAACACUCGUGGCGAAGGCGGGUUCCUGGACAUUAACUGACGCUGAGGCACGAAGGCCAGGGGAGCGAAAGGGAUUAGAUACCCGGGUAGUC